AGCAGCCGCGGUAAUUCCAGCUCCAAUAGCGUAUAUUAAAGUUGUUGCAGUUAAAAAGCUCGUAGUUGAAUUUCGGGGUUAGUAGGUUGGUCAUGCCUCUGGUAUGUACUGGUCUCACUGAUUCCUCCUUCCUGAUGAACCUUAAUGCCAUUUAUUUGGUGUUUUGGGGAAUUUGGACUGUUACUUUGAAAAAUUAGAGUGUUUAAAGCAAGCUAACGCUUGAAUACAUUAGCAUGGAAUAAUGAAAUAGGACGUUCGAUCCUAUUUUGUUGGUUUCUAGGAUUGACGUAAUGAUUAAUAGGGAUAGUUGGGGGCAUUAGUAUUCAAUUGUCAGAGGUGAAAUUCUUGGAUUUAUUGAAGACUAACUACUGCGAAAGCAUUUGCCAAGGAUGUUUUCAUUAAUCAAGAACGAAAGUUAGGGGAUCGAAGACGAUCAGAUACCGUCGUAGUCUUAACCAUAAACUAUGCCGACUAGGGAUCGGAUGAUGUUAAUUUUUUAAUGUACUCAUUCGGCGCCUUA
rnacentral:misc_RNA from 1 species